rnacentral:rRNA from 1 species
AUACGUAGGGUGCAAGCGUUAAUCGGAAUUACUGGGCGUAAAGCGUGCGCAGGCGGUUUUGUUAGAACGAGGUGAAAUCCCCGGGCUCAACCUGGGGACUGCCUUUGUGUCUGCCAGGCUUGAGUACGGCAGAGGGGGAUGGAAUUUCGCGUGUAGUAGUGAUAUGCGUAGAUAUGCGUUGGAACACCGAUGGCUAAGGCAAUCCCCGGGUCCUGUACUGACGCACAUGCACUAAAACGUGGGUAGCAAACCGGAUUAGAUUCCCUGGUAGUCCACGCCCUAAACGAUGUCAACUUGUUGUUGGGUCUUCAUUGACUCAAUAACGAAGCUAACACGUGAGGUUGACCCCCUGGGGAGUACGGCCGCAAGGUGGAAACUCAAAUAAAUUUGCGUGG